rnacentral:lncRNA from 1 species
AUUUUUUCUAGCUACUUGAAGAGUCUUCAGGGGAAAAAAAAUAUUCCUUGUUUUGUUCUUAAAUCUGGUACUUUUCAUUAAAAACAGUCCUAAUACCAGGACACAUUACAAAUAUAGUAUCAUGUGAACAUUUAUGUUCUCUGCUUUGUUCUCUCUUAGAUCCAAGGUUUUUAUGUGUGUAACCUGUAUAUUCUCACCACAAGAGUAGUUGUUGCCAAUAGUUUGUAUGAUUGACCAUGCGUGUACUUUUCUUACCUUAUGUUGCAACCAACAAUAUGUCUGUGUUGUAAAAAACUGGCUGUUUUUUGGGAUGGAUCUCCUACCCUUUCACCUGACAGUCAGGUUCCCUUUAACCAGCCCUAAAACAUAAUUCCAACUAGACCAAGGCAGAGCAAUAACCCAAAGCUUUCUUCCUUUUUCUUUCUCCUCCAGGUUCUCCCUGAUGAUUGGCUGGCUCACUGCAGACAGCCUGAGAAGUUAAGAAAUGUACUUUUGAUCUUUUUGUAACAUCAGUGAAAUGGAAUUAGCGGGAAUAGUUUUAACUUCACAAUUUGCUGGAAGACAAAGGAAACAACAACCACCAAUUGGAAGGAGCCCUGCUGCUCUUCAGGACAUGCGGGAAUUAGCAGACAGAAGUGGAAGAAACUUUUUUGUUUUCCUCUGACAGGACAACUAGACUGAAGCAGGGAAAGUAUGGAAGAGGAAAUCUGAAUAUUACGCAUCUUGACAAUGGACUCUUACAUAGUGAAACAGCAUUUAGCAUUAUUAAAAUACAACAAGCAGCUGUGUUUCCUUGAUGCAGAAGUGGAAACAAACAGCCAGAAAAUUCAGCACAGAAAUGAAGCUUUAAAAACAGAGGAAAGCCAGUCCAGCGCUUCUUUCUUUUGUACUGUGAUGUUGUGGUUGCUCUGUUUUCCAUGAAUAAAAUGUGAAUAAGAACUUUUUCCUAGUGUACACUAUGUUGAUCUUUAUAUGUUGUAAGAUCGUGAAGAAAGAUCUAAGAUGCUAUGGUAACUCUGGUUUUAAGAGCCUAAGAAAUCACUGAAAACACUUUUAGAUUUGAAUGAAACAAACCCUUCCUUAAUCUUUAGCUAAAAGUAUGUUGUUUUGUUUGUUUGUUUGUUUUUUGUUGUUUGUUUGUUUGUUUUUUCCAUGAAUAGGAUCUAUAUUACCAAAUAUUGCCAUACUAUACAUGGUCCACAGAUCUCUGUAUACCAAGCCAUAAAGUGUUUUAAACAAAACAAUAGAGCCUGUGCACAAAAACAGAAAUGUGGUUGUCAUCAGGUGCUUACAAUACAUAUAAAAUUAUCUCUUUAGAAUAAAAUUUACCCAUCUGCAGAAGAAUGUGAUGAC